rnacentral:rRNA from 1 species
GACGAACGCUGGCGGCGUGCUUAACACAUGCAAGUCGAGCGGAAAGGCCACUUCGGUGGUACUCGAGCGGCGAACGGGUGAGUAACACGUGAGUAAUCUGCCCCUGGCUUUGGGAUAGCCACCGGAAACGGUGAUUAAUACCGGAUAUGACCACUUCACGCAUGUGUUGUGGUGGAAAGUUUUUCGGCCAGGGAUGUGCUCGCGGCCUAUCAGCUUGAUGGUGAGGUAAUGGCUCACCAUGGCUUCGACGGGUGGCCGGCCUGAGAGGGUGACCGGUCACACUGGGACUGAGACACGGCCCAGACUCCUACGGGAGGCAGCAGUGGGGAAUAUUGGACAAUGGGCGGAAGCCUGAUCCAGCAACGCCGCGUGAGGGAUGACGGCCUUCGGGUUGUAAACCUCUUUCAGUACCGACGAAGCGCAAGUGACGGUAGGUACAGAAGAAGCACCGGCCAACUACGUGCCAGCAGCCGCCGUAAAAC